GGGGAAUUAGCUCAGAUGGCAGAGCGCUCGCUUAGCAGUAUGUGGCUAGCAUGCGAGAGGCAGGGGGAUCGAUACCCCCAUUCUCCA